rnacentral:rRNA from 1 species
UACGUAGGGGGCUAGCGUUGUCCGGAAUCAUUGGGCGUAAAGAGCGCGUAGGCGGCCAGAUAAGUCCGGUGUGAAAGUCACAGGCUCAACCUGUGAAUGCCGCUGGAAACUGUCUGGCUAGAGUCCGGGAGGGGCGAGUGGAAUUCCUGGUGUAGCGGUGAAAUGCGCAGAUAUCAGGAGGAACACCAAUGGCGAAGGCAGCUCGCUGGAACGGUACUGACGCUGAGGCGCGAAAGCUAGGGGAGCAAACGGG